CUGAAAGGGGAGGACCAUCCAUUUUCAUUUCAGAGAGGUCCAAUUUUCAGAGAGGUGUCUUCUUAUAAAUAACGUCCACAACCCUUCUAUGCUCGUUGGCAGGGGUAGGACAUGCAGUGCGUCAAACCUCUCAAAUAAAACAAAGAAACUGGCUACACAGACGCGCAGACUACGGAGACGCCGGUUGAUUGAUAACAAUUGUGUGUACAUUUAUUUCGCAGCGCUCGCGCACGCAACCUGGGCGGUCUAGUCACGGAAUCAAGCGCUUCCUGGUGGAUUCAUUCGAGGAGUUUCUCUAGUUUGAAGAAAGUUUAUUAUAAUAUGUACAUGUUCUAGGCUAUAGAUACAGUAUGUUUACUAUUGUAGCCUAAAAAACGCUAGUUUCAAUAUAAUAGUGUGGAACACACACCCUUGGAAAGACUACCACAUUGAGAGAGGAGCCACGCACUCAGAUUGUCCCUUUCAGCAAGACAGGCCUUUCUCUGUGCUGGUUGCUGAUAAUAAGCAGAAUCUACUGAACACCCAAAACCAAUUAGGUAAGGUGUUGUAUGCAAAAUGCAAAACUGGAAAAACAGGUAAAUAGGGUCCUGUAGGCUCAGCCCUAAUUUGUGUGCUCUCUGACACCCGGAGUUGCAUGGUAAAUGGCCUAUAGAUUUUGGUGGCUGUUUUGUUAGACCUCAGCGUGGCUUCAGUGUGGCUUUUGAGAUUACUUGUAUCUGUACAGGGUGGACUCUGAAUUACUCUAUGCAAAGUUUUAUUGUCUUCUCAGGAAUUGUGUCUUAUUACUUUGGUCUCAUCCCUCACACAAUCCUUUAAAUGCUGUGACACCCUGUGGAGAUUGGGCCUGGGAAUGUUUAGGUUACUGUAAGCUUGGUUAUUGUUUGAUUGGUCAAUGGUGGUUGGUUUUGGGUUGAAAGGUUACACCUUCAGAUGUUGUAAAUUGAUUUAAAUGUUGUAUCCUGGAACUAGUCCAUGGAGGAAGGUUGUUUGAUCAAUUCUUAUUUCCUAGGCUUCUGGCCUAAUAAGCAUCUCUUCUAUUCAUGCUUUGUCUUCUAAUUCUUUGGAACGUAAGCUUUAUGCCUUGUAUGUGAAUCCAUUCAUUGUUCAAUAUUAAUUAAAUAUCUGCCUUUAAUAUAGACAAUUCUCAGACCAAUUCUUGCUAGUCAACAUCAACUCAUUGCAUCAUGCUUGCUUGUAUAUUUUAAUGACCUUUUAUGAAGUCAGAUAAACAUUAUAAUAGGCUAACUGCUUAGUCCUAUUAUAAGUCGCAUGUGAUGUAUAUACGAUAAUAUACUGUAUAUGCACAUAUAUAAAGUAUUAAUGCCCACUAGUCUCACUAUUGUUUGUGUAGAAAUGCUCUAAUGAAGGUUGGCUGACCGAAAGCAUAGCUACUAUUAAAAUACAUUUUUAUCUCACCGGAAGUGACUGGAAGUGUACAGACUGAAGUGGCAGCAAGUCUUAACCCUUAAGUGGUUGAACAUUUUGCCAUGUCUUUUUGGUCUGUAGUCACUGCUAGUUUUGAAGCCUUUGUUAAGGCCUCUAGAAGUGCAAGUAAUUUAAAACACCAAAUAUCCACUGAUAUGCUGUAAUGUGUAAACACAUUACCUAGCAGCCAACCUGAUUGCACUAAUUGUAAUUACAGUAAAAUGCUAGGAAAUACAAUCUCCUCCCCUUAAUGAAUUUCAUUCAUCCAUUAUUUUUUUCCUAUAUAAACAGUCAAUUUAAUGGUAUUGUAUUGUGUGUUAUUAAACAGUACUUGCUACUGUAAUAUUUAUAUUACAGUCGGUGUACUAUAGAAUGAAAUGCAGAAUUUUGCUUACCACGAGCUGCUUGUAAGCUACUGUCAAUUUAACAGUAACCCCUAUACAGUGCAUGAUAUUCAGCCCAUUGAGAGUCAUCCCUACCAAAAUACAUCUUAUCUAACACAACUCAGGAUAAGACCCAGAUGCAGAUAUACGAGGCAGACAGUUUGAAAAACGGCAGGUCAAGCCAGGCAGUGGUGGAAACAAGAGACAAAGAGCUGUGAGACAGAGGUUUGAUCCUAGAUACAUGAACAGUGGGAUGUAUACGGAGGGUGCGGGGCCGAUAAAGGGCCGAUACAACUGCUAGGGGAACGUUUACGGAACUCCACCCGGAGGGGCAAAUCCCGAGUGGACAGCCAUACCCUCUGCCCGAGACGAUAGCGGGGAGCAGGGUGGCGGUCUUCCAGGUACGGCGACAGCCACGGAUGAACAUCUGGGUCGAUGGUAUGCUGACUUCUUGCUCAGGGAAGAGCGGGGGCUGAUAUCGCAUGGAACACUCGAAAGGCGAGAGACUAGUGGCCAAGCAGGGAAGGGUGUUGCAGGUGUAUUCCACCCACGUGAGUUGUUGGCUCCAGGUGGUGGGGUUGGUUGAGACGAGGCACCUAAGCAUAGUCUCCAGGUCUUGAUUGGCACUCUCCGACCAGCCGUUGGACCGGGUAUGAAACCUGGAGGACAAGCUGGCUCGAUGACCCAAUAAGGGUAAAGCCUUCCAGAAUCAGGAUGAGAAUUGACAACCACGAUCAGAGACAAUGUCGACAGGGAGUCCAUGGAUUUGGAAGACGUGCUGCACCAUGAGCUGCGUCGUCUCUUUCGCUGAAUGUAUCUUGGGGAGAGGGACGAAAUGGGCAGCUUUAGAGAACCUAUCCACCACUGUCAGUAUAGUGGUGUUGCCAUCAGACGGAGGAAGCACAGUGACAAAAUCCAGGGAUAUAUGAGACCAGGGGCGAUGAAGAACAGGGAGUGGCUGAAGGAGGCCUACCGCAGAGUCUUAUUCUGAGCACACACGUGUAUGUGGAGACAAAGGCUGAAACAUCAGGAACCAUAGGGGGGCCACUAGAAGUGUUGUUGGAGGAAGGCCAGGGUUCAACGGGAGCUAGGAUGGCAGGUGAGCUUGGAGGAAUGAGCACAUUCCAGGACCUGAGAUAGGGCCGAAUCAGGGACAAAAAUCCGGCUGGGAACGUUGUGCCUUGCGGACCAGGCUCUUGAUACCUCAGACAAUUGUAGCUGCAAGACAUGAGGUAAGGAGGAUGGUCUCAGAGUCAGAAGGUGUGGCAGCGGAACUAUACAUGCGGGAGAGAGCAUCCGGCUUCACAUUGAACAUGCCACAGAGCACAUAGUUGACCAGGGUAUGGAACACUAUGGGAGUGUUGGUGAGUCCAAACGUCAUGACCAGGUACUCAGUAUCCACUAGCUGUGUUGAAGGACGUGUUCUACUCGUCUCCUUCGCGUAUCCGACCUAGGUGGUAGGCAUUCCGAAGGUCCAACUUGGAAAAGAUGGCUGCCCCCUGGAGAGGUUCGAAAGCCGAGGAGAGGAGUGGUAGAGGGUAACAAUUCUUAACCGUGAUGUCAUUGAGGCCCCUGUAGUCGAUACAUGGACGCAGGUUCUUGUCCUUUUUCUCCACAAAGAAGAACCCUGCGCCGGCAGGGGAGGCAGAAGGAUGAAUGCUCCCAGCAGCCAGAGAGUCCUCAAUGUAGUCCUCUAUGGCCUUGGUCUCAGGGCCAGUUCAUGCUAUAGCUAUACUAUGAUCGAUAAUGUCAAAAGGCCCACUGAAGUCUGACAAAACAGCAGCCACAAUAUGUUUAUCAUCAAUUUCUCUCAGCCAAUCAGUCAUUUGUGUAAGUGCUGUAAAAAUGGCAAUGUAUCUGGUCAAACACAAUUUUUUCCAAAAGUUACUAAGGGUUGGUAACAGGUUGAUUGGCUGACUAUUUGAGACAGUAAAGGGGGCUUUACUAUUCUUAGGUAGCGGAAUGACUUUUGCCUCUCUCCAGGCCUGAGGGCACAUACUUUCUAGUAGGCUUAACUUGAAGAUAUGGCAAAUAGGAGUGACAAUAUCAUCUGCUAUUAUCCUCAGUAAUUUUCCAUCCAAGUUGUCAAACCCCGGUGGCUUGACUUUGUUGAUAGACAACAAAACAUUUUUCACCUCUUCCACACUCACUUUAUGGAAUAAAAAAUGACAAUACUUCAUAAUUUGGUCAGAUAUAGUUGGAUGUGUAGUGUCAGCGUUUGUUGCUGGCAUGUCAUGCCUAAGUUUGCUAAUCUUGACAAUUUAAAAAAUCAUUAAAGUAGUUGGACAUAUCAGUGGGUUUAAUGAGUCAUCUGAUUCAAUGAAUGAUGAAGCUGAGUUUGCCCUUUUUGCCCAAAAUUUAAUUUAAGGUGCUCCAAAGCUUUUUACUAUCAUUCUUUAUAUAAUUUAUCUUAGUUUUAUAGUAUAGUUUCAACACCUCCACCACUGGCAUUUGUCUUUUCUGUAAAUGUUAUAACCUUGUAUUGCUACCACUGAAUCAUCAAAGGUAUUAUCUAAGUGAGUUUCAGAGAUGGUCAAUACAUGAAUGUCAUCUGUUACUAGCAAGUUAUUUACUUCAUUAACCUUGUUUCUUAGGCUACAUAUGAUAACGUGGGCUAUCUUUGAAAACUUUUCUGGGAUGCUUGAUUGUUUUCAUUGUUUUAUUGGGAAGCUUAGCAGAAUUAGACAUGUUCAUGCUGUUUAUGUUAGUGCAGGGUGAGCUGCACACAUGGGACUUCCAACUAUGGCACACCGCCUCAGUGCUAACACUAUAACUCAUUAGACAUUACACACCAUUGAACCGCCCAAUACAACGGCCGGGGAAGGGAAUGGAGAAAUCUGACCAUUCCUACCUCUCACACAAUUCUUUGAACCUUUCACGGAUCCACGAGAAGCAGGAUAGCGUAUGCCCGCUGCUUCCCCCGAUAGGUCCAGACCUCCCACAGAAGGCAGUGCCCGUCAGAUCCAGAGAGAGGGAAAGGAGCCGAACUCGACAACGAAGCCACUGCUGGAGUCAGCGUAUUUGGAGUCAGCACCGCCAUCGCAGACACCGGCAGUCCCAGCGACGAAGGCGCAGUUAGAUCAGGCACCAGUGCAGCAAAGCUAUUCCUUAUGUCAAUCUGCUCCGAACCUCUCGCAAUCACUGCCGUCCGCUUAGCAGCAUGCUGCUUCCUUUGGUUUCCACGACUUGUGACAUGGGGACCAGAAGCUGAUUGGAACAAUCUUCUUUGCUGUUCUCUGUCUACUUCAUUACAAGAUGGAGUAGGAGAAGCAGAUGGAGACAACGUUCUUGGCAGGCAAGUUCUAGGUAGCACAGGCCAUUCGGAUAGGGACAGAUGACAGGGCUGGAAAACAUCCACCAGGCCCGAGCGGCGUCCAGCCAUAGGAGUUGAGAACGAGAAAGUUCCAAUUUGCAUUUUCCCCGUAAAUUAGCGCAGAAUUGAGAUUUGCUGGCCAAUCGUAGUCACCUCAUUCCUGUAAUCCUCUGCAAGCAAACAAUUGCUUCAUUUGAACUCUGGAUUGUCAAUACAGUGGAGUCAACCAUGUGUGAAUGUUGCAGUUGUAUGUUUACAAGGCCAAUGCCAAACAUUAGGAAUGUCUUCCUAAUAUUGAACCCCCCUCCACACACACACACACAGAUUGAAGUGGAUUUAACAAGUGACAUCAUUAAGGGAUCAUAGCAUUCACCUGGUCAAUCUAUUUCAUGGAAAGAGCAAGUGUUCUUAAUGUUUUGUACACUGUAUAUACAGUGCCUUGCGAAAGUAUUCGGCCCCCUUGAACUUUGCGAC
ensembl:lncRNA